UGGGCACUUCUCCUCUUUGCAUGUUUCUUCUAUUAUCCAUUAGAGGCACUGAAAAUUCGUGUACUGGUCAAUUUUGCUCGUGUGGUAACUUAUCUUACGCUAAUGUCGAAAGUACAAGAGGUGAUUUUACCAGCCUAUUUACCUUACUGAAAUAACAGCCGAAAAUCUUCCCAAAUAAUACACAGGGCAAACAGAUAUGCCAUUUAUAUACUAGGAAUGCACUCUCCGGGGGUUCUGCUAAAAACAUUAUGUAUUUUAUAUACGAAGGCGACCACUUUCCAUUGCCAUAACUAAUAGAGAAUUCGGAAGAGCUAUCGUCCGGUCGCCACACUUUCGUCAUUAAUUCCAACUUCUCGGGAUCUGAAUUCCACCAAAUUCUACACCAUAAUCAAAAGGAUAACACUCCUUCUUUUGGCAGACAAGCUCUCCACGAGAAACGUCUGCAUUUUAUGAAGCCAUGCUUCGCUUUUCAAGAUUUCGGUUCGAGAGAUCUGUACAAGAGAUCACACGCUCAAGCAAGCAAAGGCCUACUUUCUCAGGGGUAGUAUCGGGAUUUUAUUGUCAAUGAUUCACACGUUAUAGCAACCAAUCGGAACAGAGCUUGAGUGAUUCCGCGUGGACCCUAGCCAAUCGGUGAAGAGUUUGAGUAGUUCCAGAACACGCACAUAACUUUUAUACACGCGCAAAAUUUCUAAAUGGGUCCCCCCUCCCCCAAACUAGAUUUAUCACUCACUAUCAGGAGCAAUAUUUCCCGUGGGGGAACCGGAAAUGCUGUCUAAGCGCUAAAAGAAACAGCGAAACAACCAAGGAAGCAGGUCUAAUAUUGUUUAAAUAACAGACAAGUCUGGAUCCACCCCUGGAGUGUCAAGGGUAAAUGGACAGAUGAUGUGGACUUGGGUGAAGGAGAGGCGACUGAGCUCCACAAAGAAUACCUUAACCAACUGCAGUUUGUCAAGGGAUUAAGUCUCCAAGUAAGAACAGAGACACUAAUCCCCGACUUAGAACAACUACAUACCAUGCCGAUAUCAGCUUCUUAGAAGCAGGGCUGAGGCAAAAAAGGACUAUGAAGGAACCCAGCAUAAGCGAAGCGCAUCUGAGCAAACCAAGAUCGCCAUGUCGUGGAGCGUAGAAGGUUUCGAAAAGAUGUUGGAAAUGUGUAAGGGCUUGAUGAAACCGAUCGAAAAAAAUACCAAUACAGAGCUGCAUUCACAAGUCAAUAACCCCAAAAGGUAUUUACGACAAGAAACGGAAGGCACCCUCGCAUCUUCUUAUUUUUAUGAUCUCGGAGGAACAAAGAAACAGCAAGCCAUACGCCAUUCCAGUUCGUGUGGUCACUUACAGAUCAAUAAAAGAUAAUAGGGUCCAGGAACUAAAAGAUGAGUUGAAAGAGGCAAAGGAGAAGAUCGGCAUGGUUGUGUUAGGUAAUACAUUUUUAUAAAAAUAUAUAAUUAGUCUUAUUGGCGAGCAGUUUAUAUAAUUUGUAAAAUGUUUUUUUUAACAAGGUGAAAUACUAGAUGAUCACUAUAUGUCUCUUGUAUUUUCCAAAGUUUUUGCGACUGAUGGUGGAAUAAGCUCCAUACAAUGGGAACAACACGGCCAGUUUUCUGUUAUACAAUUGGUGAUGGUCGCUAAAGAUGAGGCAAGAAAGAUUUAAGUCCGAACUAUAGAACAAUAACUAAAACCACCUAAGUGCGUUUAUAUCAUAUAGCUAUUAAAAAUGGCAAAACACUUUAAUGAGAAAUAUCAAUUUGAUGAUUUGCCGUUACAUAAAGAGAAUCAACUCGUACAAUAUGGUCUUCAACUAUGUUCGAUAUGUAGAUGCUAUGAGCAAUUCAUAUCAAAGUAAAUGACACCCAACUCUGUAAUUCAUUAUUAUCCAAUAAUUGUCUCGUUAACUUGUAUACUAGGCACAUCCUAGCAAGUACGUCCAAUCCAAGCACAUCCAUGUGUACCCGUGUGAUGACCUACGGUGGGUAGCUUCCUUUAUGAAAGACGGGAAAACAUUUGAAGAGGCAAUCGCAUUACUGAGAAAGUUUCAUUUCCCGUUCUUUUACGACCCGCAUCCGUGGAUUCCUGCUAGGUACAUUGCAUUAUACUAUAUCGACCUAUUCAUGCCACGAAACUUUUAAAAAUGCGCCUAACUUUCACUCAUCUCGAUAAAUUGAGAAUGACCUUUUUUUAACUACAAAGCACUCAUAUAUUUUCCAUGGGAAAAGAUGAAAGUAAAAGGGAUUGUUUGAAGUCGUUGAUAGCGACUUACAUAUACAGACAAAAGGUCCAGACAUAUGUCGAUCAAGUUGUGGACUUUGCCCAUCAUCUGUACGUUCCAGACCAAGAAGAGUCGGGGGUGCAUCAACAUGCGAGAGAGGACCACAACCAUGUCCUUAAGCGCAUCACUGCUUGUCUGCGGGCCAGGAAUAUACCCGUCGAGAUUCCGUUGUUUGUAGAUGCAUUAAAGACCCUCAUACUGGUUUGACGUACACCACCUUAACCGGCCAGAUAAAGUAAUCCGUACCUGAUUGCGAACGCAUAUUCUCGUACGGGGUACUGCAGUUUAUGAUGACUCAUGAUGAUGGCCAUCAGAAGGAACACGAUUGAUGGCGACUGUUUCAAAAAAGGUCUAUAUUCUCAUUUUGAUAUCAUAAUCAGGCAAAAUACACUGCUUUUCUUGUUUUGGUGAUGUUACCAAUGAUGGCAUACCACGUACAUACCAAAGCUCUUUACAAGUUUGGCUGUUUGACAGUGUUUCUUUAUGAAGAUAUAUAUUUCUAAAUUGCAAUGUGAUCAAUGACGUUAUGGCACGUGACUGGUGUUCCGUCCCCCUUACCCCCUUUACAACUCAUUGGCUAGUUUUGUUGUAUAUCACAUUUCCUUAUAGAGAAAUUAAUUAUUCAAUUUUUGAUGAUGACGCCAUUGAUGACAUGAUACCACGUGACGUUUGCCCCUCUUGACCCCAAAAUAACUUUGACCAAGUUUCAUUUAUAUGUCAGUGAUCUUGAUUUGUGGAUGGUUGCUAUAGUUACCGCUUUGCCAACCACAAAUGUUUGCUCGACACAGUACAGUUAUUAAUAGUAAGUACAAAUGCUGAUAAAUGCUAUGGGAAAUAAAACAUGGAGGGGGUGGUCUACUUGACUGAUUUUGGACCUCAUCACAAGCCUAAAUUUUUCACCUGUAUUGACUUUCUUGGGUUUUUGCCACGUAUUUACUGUAUUUCACCCAAUUUCACAAGAUUUCUGUCCCAGCUAUGCGUUACUCAUAUAAUGGUUUUAAAAUAAACUGUUUUCAUAAAGUAAA